UACGUAGGGGGCAAGCGUUGUCCGGAUUUAUUGGGCGUAAAGAGCGUGUAGGCGGCCUGACAGGUCUGCUGUGAAAACUCGAGGCUCAACCUCGAGAUGUCGGCGGAAACCGUCUGGCUAGAGUCCGGAAGAGGAGAGUGGAAUUCCUGGUGUAGCGGUGAAAUGCGCAGAUAUCAGGAGGAACACCAAUUGCGAAGGCAGCUCGCUGGGACGUAACUGACGCUGAGACGCGAAAGCGUGGGGAGCAAACAGG
rnacentral:rRNA from 1 species